AUCCCAGAUAAAACUAUUUGUGGUGUUUAUCUGAUUCAUGGGAGGCCAAUAUUAACUAUGGAAGUUUCGCUGAUAACACCUUCUUAGUACUUGGAGGUGUUUUACUAGUAGCUUGCCGAACAUGA